rnacentral:rRNA from 1 species
UGACGAGCGGCGGACGGGUGAGUAAUGUCUGGGAAACUGCCUGAUGGAGGGGGAUAACUACUGGAAACGGUAGCUAAUACCGCAUAAUGUCGCAAGACCAAAGUGGGGGACCUUCGGGCCUCAUGCCAUCAGAUGUGCCCAGAUGGGAUUAGCUAGUAGGUGGGGUAACGGCUCACCUAGGCGACGAUCCCUAGCUGGUCUGAGAGGAUGACCAGCCACACUGGAACUGAGACACGGUCCAGACUCCUACGGGAGGCAGCAGUGGGGAAUAUUGCACAAUGGGCGCAAGCCUGAUGCAGCCAUGCCGCGUGUAUGAAGAAGGCCUUCGGGUUGUAAAGUACUUUCAGCGGGGAGGAAGGCGAUAAGGUUAAUAACCUUGUCGAUUGACGUUACCCGCAGAAGAAGCACCGGCUAACUCCGUGCCAGCAGCCGCGGUAAUACGGAGGGUGCAAGCGUUAAUCGGAAUUACUGGGCGUAAAGCGCACGCAGGCGGUCUGUCAAGUCGGAUGUGAAAUCCCCGGGCUCAACCUGGGAACUGCAUUCGAAACUGGCAGGCUAGAGUCUUGUAGAGGGGGGUAGAAUUCCAGGUGUAGCGGUGAAA